GCACCGAUGGCUCAGUGGGUAACACAGAUGGCUGCCAAGCACAAGACCGGGGUUCGAUCCCCGCUGUGGCA